AAAAUUCCAAUAAAAGGAAGCUAUUGUGCUCCAACUAUAUGUUUGGAUAAGUGUAAGAAGCAACAUGGAACUGUUGGUAGUUGUGCGGAAGAAAAAGGAUUUUGUAACUGCGCUUGUAAAUAAGGGUUCUCACUAAGUGUUAUGAAUCUAGUAAUGUCCAACCAAAGUUUUAUAUUAUUUCUUUUAACAAUAAGUCUAAAUGUUUGUUUUUGAUUUGUGGAUCUAUUUAUAAUAAAUAAUAAUAUGAAUGUUAAAUAAAUACAAAUGUGUAAAACAAGAGUGGACUAUUAAUAAAAUAUAUGAUCACAUUAUUGUUAGAAGUAACCAAUAUUACGUGUAAAAUCAAAAGCUUAAGAAGAGUUAAAAAGAUAGAGACGAAAUCACAACCAAUAUUUAAAUGUGAGAUAAUCAACUAACACGUAAUUUUGUACACAUUGUAAAAAAAAAAAGCAAGAGUUGAUUAUCAAACAAAAAAGUGUUAGAAAGAGCAACAGAUCAUUCAAGGGCAGACUAGGUUUGAAUUGGCUUGACAGAUGGGAUGCAGACAUGCCAUAGGAAAGUCUUACAAACUCAUCAGACAACGCAAAGAAAAGUGAUAGCAUUGUUUCUGAACAUGACAAAGCUUUGGUCAUGAAGAAAAAUUUCACAACCAGAGUUUUUGGUAGACCUCCUCCAAUGUCAUCAUCAGCUACGAGUUUUGAGACUUCAUCCACAUCUCAGUCUCUAUUUCAAUUCUCAUGAAGUUUCCUUUAGAGAAGAGGUUAUUACAAAAAGCCAAGUUACAUGAACCUAACACAAUCUAUCAAAGGUAAGAAGAGACGAUCAACCAGUAUUCUUCAUCUUCUUGUUUCAAAAUCACUGUUUGAAAAUAAACAGUCAAUGUCUUACAACGAAGAUGUGAAUGUAAAGUGUUGUGCAUGUUCGGAUCCAUCUUGCACCCAGUGGAGUGAUCUAUAUCCACAUGCUCAAGUAACAAGGAGAAAUAUGUGGGAAUAUAUGUAAAAAUACUUCUUUUUUUUUUUUUUGUCAUCAGCAUUACAGAUUUCUAUAUAAGUUACUUCUUAUGUUUUAACAAAUAGAAUACUUCAUCUCUUUCCUAAAUUUUAAGCCAAUAUCAAUCCAUUUCUAUAAUCCAUGAUGAAGAAAUCCCUUCAACUCUCGUUUACGUUCUUAAUUAUCUCCAUCAUUCUCUCACAAGGUUUGUAUUUACAUCUUAAUAUAUUGCAUAUAUUAAUUCCAUAAUAAAUUGAUUAUACUAAAAUUUGACUUUUAAAAUAUUGUAAACCUCAAUAUAAUAAAUUUUAUUAACUAUAUAAAACAUAGCAUUAAAUUAUCUCUUUGUGUAAAAUUCAUAAAUUUGCAGAAGGCUAGAAAAUAUAGAUAGUAUGGUCAGAAAUGUUUUUGUUAAAAUUGAAAGGAUCAACCAUGAAGUAUUUAACUGUUUUUUAUACUUUAUGCCAUUUAUAAUUUUUUUUAAUGUAUGGGUUUAUAUAUGAUGAAGAACUAUUAUGAUAAAAUAAUAUUAAAUAAUUUCAUUUUUAUCAUCUAUUUAUGAACAUUUUGUCCUGCACAUACAAACGAUUUAACCAACAUUUUUCAUAAUAUGGAUGAACUAUAGUUCUUACGUAAAUUUAUUUGAUAUUUUUAAUUAAAUUUAUAUAUUUUUGUAGGUAAUAUGUUAUGCAUUUCCAAUACAUACAGUAGUUGUUCUUAAAAUAUCAAAAUUUUAUACGUAAUGUUUAUUAAUAUGCACACAAUUCUUAAAACCAUAUUUUCACAAAAUAAAAAAUAAUGUGUUACCAAACGAUAUGCUCAUUUUUUUAAUUUACUGGCAAAAUAUAUUUCUUUUUUUUACUUAUAACGUUUAAAACGAAAUGUUAUUAAACAUUUUUUGCUGAUAAAUAAAUUUUCUAUUUCAUAAAAUCUAUAUAUAUUUUCUAACAAUUAAAAUUUAAAAUUUUAAUAUCUUACAGGAAUGAUGGCAGAUGCGCAGAAAAAGAAUUGUCCUCAUAAAAUUCCAAUAAAAGGAAGCUAUUGUGCUCCAACUAUAUGUUUGGAUAAGUGUAAGAAGCAACAUGGAACUGUUGGUAGUUGUGCGGAAGAAAAAGGAUUUUGUAACUGCGCUUGUAAAUAAGGGUUCUCACUAAGUGUUAUGAAUCUAGUAAUGUCCAACCAAAGUUUUAUAUUAUUUCUUUUAACAAUAAGUCUAAAUGUUUGUUUUUGAUUUGUGGAUCUAUUUAUAAUAAAUAAUAAUAUGAAUGUUAAAUAAAUACAAAUGUGUAAAACAAGAGUGGACUAUUAAUAAAAUAUAUGAUCACAUUAUUGUUAGAAGUAACCAAUAUUACGUGUAAAAUCAAAAGCUUAAGAAGAGUUAAAAAGAUAGAGACGAAAUCACAACCAAUAUUUAAAUGUGAGAUAAUCAACUAACACGUAAUUUUGUACACAUUGUAAAAAAAAAAAGCAAGAGUUGAUUAUCAAACAAAAAAGUGUUAGAAAGAGCAACAGAUCAUUCAAGGGCAGACUAGGUUUGAAUUGGCUUGACAGAUGGGAUGCAGACAUGCCAUAGGAAAGUCUUACAAACUCAUCAGACAACGCAAAGAAAAGUGAUAGCAUUGUUUCUGAACAUGACAAAGCUUUGGUCAUGAAGAAAAAUUUCACAACCAGAGUUUUUGGUAGACCUCCUCCAAUGUCAUCAUCAGCUACGAGUUUUGAGACUUCAUCCACAUCUCAGUCUCUAUUUCAAUUCUCAUGAAGUUUCCUUUAGAGAAGAGGUUAUUACAAAAAGCCAAGUUACAUGAACCUAACACAAUCUAUCAAAGGUAAGAAGAGACGAUCAACCAGUAUUCUUCAUCUUCUUGUUUCAAAAUCACUGUUUGAAAAUAAACAGUCAAUGUCUUACAACGAAGAUGUGAAUGUAAAGUGUUGUGCAUGUUCGGAUCCAUCUUGCACCCAGUGGAGUGAUCUAUAUCCACAUGCUCAAGUAACAAGGAGAAAUAUGUAGGCAAAGAAGCUAAAGUAAACAUUGUUUCAUUAAAUCAUUAAAGCAUUUCAACACCUUGACGGUUCUAAAACACACACAAAAUGCUGAUUUAUUGAUAUAUAAGCAACUUCUAUGUAUGUUUUUUUACAUACGAGUUAGUAUGAAAACCGCUGCAAUGUUGUUGUUUGACCACUUUUAUUAUUUAAUAGUUAACUUCUGAUGAUUCUAAGAUAAUAUGUUAUUCCCAACUCUUGUCAAUAUGAAAGCAAGAGCAAAGUUUCAUCUUUAUACAUGAAAGACCAAUAAAAUGACCAAAAAACAUAGUUUAGACGAAAGCUUCCUAAUAAAAUUUAUUCUCACUAUCUAAAUCUAAAACUGAAUUCAAUUCAUCUAUCUGAUUAUUAUAUAGUUUUCAUUUUCGUUAUUUUAUUGAAUUGAGUAAAAAAAAUUCAAUUAUAAACUUAGUAAUUUUUUAGUAUAAUCUUAUAAAUUAUGUAACGUGUGGGACAUCCACCUAAUAAACUAUUAAUUUAAAUAGUAAUGUUUGAAAAGUAUUUUAUUGACAUUGUUUUAAAUAAAUUCAUAAUUCUAAAAAUAGCAAUAACUUUUUGAAAACAUCAGAUUUAUGUACACGCAUAGGACACAUACCUUUUUAUUUACUUAAAGGUAAAUGAACGAGUCUAAAUUUUCCACAUGUUAUAUGAGCAAAACAUGGAUUUUUCUAAAUUGGAUUAGUUUUUAUCGGAACACAUUAAUGUGCGUUUCUUAAAUUAGAUUUUUAAUAUGUAUAUAUACGUAUGAAUACUUCUUAUAUUUAAAUAAAAAAUAGAAUACUUCAUCUCUUUCCUAAAUUUUUAAGCCAAUAUCAAUCCAUUUCUAUAAUCCAAGAUGAAGAAAUCCCUUCAACUCUCGUUUACGUUCUUAAUUAUCUCCAUCAUUCUCUCACAAGGUUUGUAUUUACAUCUUAAUAUAUUGCAUAUAUUAAUUCCAUAAUAAAUUGAUUAUACUAAAAUUUGACUUUUAAAAUAUUGUAAACCUCAAUAUAAUAAAUUUUAUUAACUAUAUAAAACAUAGCAUUAAAUUAUCUCUUUGUGUAAAAUUCAUAAAUUUGCAGAAGGCUAGAAAAUAUAGAUAGUAUGGUCAGAAAUGUUUGCGUUAAAAUUGAAAGGAUCAACCAUGAAGUAUUUAACUGUUUUUUAUACUUUAUGCCAUUUAUAAUUUUUUUAAUGUAUGGAUUUAUAUAUGAUGAAGAACUAUUAUGAUAAAAUAAUAUUAAAUAAUUUCAUUUUUAUCAUUUAUUUAUGAACAUUUUGUCCUGCACAUACAAAUGAUUUAACCAACAUUUUUCAUAAUAUGGAUAAACUAUAGUUCUUACGUAAAUGUAUUUGAUACUUUUAAUUAAAUUUAUAUAUUUUUAUAGGUAAUAUGUUAUGCUUUUCUAAUACAUACAGUAGUUGUUCAUAAAAUAUCAAAAUUUUAUACGUAAUGUUUAUUAAUAUGCACACAAUUCUUAAAACCAUAUUUUUCACAAAAUAAAAAAUAAUGUGUGACCAAACGAUAUGCUCAUUUUUUUUAUUUACUGGCAAAAUAUAUUUCUUUUUUUUUUUGCUUAUAACGUUUAAAACGAAAUGUUAUUAAACAUUUUUUGCUGAUAAAUAAAUUUUUUAUUUCAUAAAAUCUAUAUAUAUAUUCUAACAAUUAAAAUUUAAUAUUUUAAUAUCUUACAGGAAUGAUGGCAGAUGCGCAGAAAAAGAAUUGCCCUCAUAAAAUUCCAAUAAAAGGAAGCUAUUGUAUUCCAACUAAAUGUUUGGAUAUGUGUAAGAAGCAACAUGGAACUCUUGGUAGUUGUUCGGAAGAAAAAGGAUUUUGUAACUGCGCUUGUAAGUAAGGGUUCUCACUAAGUGUUAUGAAUCUAGUAAUGUCCAACCAAAGUUUUAUAUUAUUUCUUUUAACAAUAAGUCUAAAUGUUUGUCUCUGAUUUGUGGAUCUAUUUAUAAUAAAUAAUAAUAUGAAUGUUAAAUAAAUACAAAUGUGUAAAACAAGAGUGGACUAUUAAUAAAAUAUAUGAUCACAUUAUUGUUAGAAGUAACCCAUAUUACUUGAAAAAUCAAAAGCUUAAGAAGAGUUAAAAAGAUAGAUAUGAAAUCACAACCAAUAUUUAAAUGUGAGAUAAUCAACUAACAUGUAAUUUUGUACACAUUGUAAAAAAAAAAAAAAAACAAGAGUUGAUUAUCAAACAAAAAAGUGUUAGAAAGAGCAACAGAUCAUGCAAGGGCAGUCUAGGUUUGAAUUGGCUUGACAGAUGGGUUGCAGACAUGCCAUAGGAAAGUCCUACAAACUCAUCAGACAUCAAAGAAAAUUGAUAGCAUUGUUUCUGAACAUGACAAAGCUCUGGUCAUGAAGAAAAAUUUCACAGCCAAAGUUUUUGGUAGACCUUCUCCGAUUUCAUCAUCAGCUACGAGUUUUGAGACUUCAUCCACAUCUCAGUCUCCAUUUCCAUUCUCAUGAAGUUUUCUUUAGGGAAGAGGUUAUUACAGAAAGCCAAGUUACAUGAACCUAACACAAUCUAUCAAAGGUAAGAAGAGACGAUCAACCAGUAUUCUUCAUCUUCUUGUUCCGAAAUCACUGUUUGAAAAGAAACAGUCAAUGUCUUACAACGAAGAUGUGAAUGUAAAGUGUUGUGCAUGUUCGGAUCCAUCUUGCACCCAGUGGAAUGAUCUAUAUCUACAUGCUCAAGUAACAAGGAGAAAUAUGUGGGCAAAGAAGCUAAAGUAAACAUUGUUUCAUUAAAUCUUUAAAGCAUUUCAACACCUUGAGAGUUCUAAAACACACACAAAAUACCGAUUUAUAGAUAUAUAAGCAACUUCUAUGUAUGUUCUUUUACAUAUGAGUUAGUAUGAAAAUUGCUGCAAUGUUGUUGUUUGACCACUUUUAUUAUUUAAUAGUUAACUUCUGAUGAUUCUAAGAUAACAUGUUCUUCCCAACUCUUGUCAAUAUGAAACCAAGAGCAAAGUUUCAUCUUUAGACAUGAAAGACCUAUAAAAUGACAAAAUAGCAUAGUUUAGACGAAAGCUUCCUAAUAAAAUUUAUUCUCACUAUCUAAAUCUAAAACUGAAUUCAAUUCAUCUAUUUGAUUAUUAUAUAGUUUUCAUUUUUCAUUAUUUUAUUGAAUUGAGUAAAAAAAUUUAAUUAUAAACUUACUAAUUUUUUAAUAUAAUCUCAUAAAUUAUGUUACGUGUGGGACAUCCACCUAAUAAACUAUUAAUUUAAAUAGUAAUGUUCGAAAAGUAUUUUAUUGACAUUGUUUUAAAUAAAUUCAGAAUUCUAAAAAUAGCAAUAACUUUUUGAGAACAUCAGAUUUAUGUACACGCAUAGGACACAUACCUUUUUAUUUACUUAAAGGAAAAUGAACGAGUCUAAAUCUUCCACAUGUUAUAUGAGCAAAACAUGAAUUUUUCUAAAUUAGAUUCGUUUAAAUCAGAACAUAUUAAUGUGAGUUUCUUAAAUUAGAUUUUUAAUAUGUAUAUAUACGUAAGAAUACUUCUUAUGUUUUAAAAUAAAAAAUAGAAUACUUCAUCUCUUUCCUAAAUUUUUAAGCCAAUAUCAAUCCAUUUCUAUAAUCUAAGAUGAAGAAAUCCCUUCAACUCUCUUUUUCGUUCUUAAUUAUCUCCAUCAUUCUCUCACAUGGUUUGUAUUUUCAUCUUAAUAUAUUGCAUAUAGUAAUUCCAUAAUAAAUUGAUUAUACUAAAAUUUGACUUUUAAAAUAUUGUCAACCCCCAUAUAAUAAAUUUUAUUUACUAUAUAAAACAUAGCAUUAAAUUAUCUCUUUGUGUAAAAUUCAUAACUUUGCAGAAGGCUAGAAAAUAUAGAUAGUAUAGUCAGAAAUGUUUGCGUUAAAAUUGAAAGGAUCAACCAUGGAGUAUUUAAAUGUUUUUUAUACUUUAUGCCAUUUAUAAUUUUUUUAAUGUAUGGGUUUAUAUAUGAUGAAGAACUAUUAUGAUAAAAUAAUAUUAAAUAAUUUCAUUUUUAUCAUCUAUUUAUGAACAUUUUGUCCUGCACAUACAAAUGAUUUAACCAACAUUUUUAAUAAUAUGGAUGAACUAUAGCUCUUACGUAAAUUUAUUUGAUAUUUUUAAUUAAAUUUAUAUAUUUUUAUAGGUAAUUUGUUAUGCUUUUCCAAUACAUACAGUAGUUGUUAUUAAAAUAUCAAAAUUUAAUACGUAAUGUUUAUUAAUAUGCACACAAUUCUUAAAACCAUAUUUUUAAAAAAUAAUGUGUGACCAAACGAUAUGCUCAUUUUUUUAUUUACUAGCAAAAUAUAUUUCUUUUCUUACUUAUAACGUUUAAAAAGAAAUGUUAUUAAACAUUUUUUGCUGAUAAAUAAAUUUUAUAUUUCAUAAAAUCUAAAUAUAUUUUUUAACAAUUAAAAUUUGAAAUUUUUAUAUCUUACAGGAAUGAUGGCAGAUGCGCAGAAAAAGAAUUGUCCUCAUAAAAUUCCAAUAAAAGGAAGUUAUUGUGCUCCAACUAUAUGUUUGGAUAUGUGUAAGAAGCAACAUGGAACUGUUGGUAGUUGUGCGGAAUAAAAAUGAUUUUGUAACUGCGCUUGUAAGUAAGAGUUCUCACUAAGUGUAAUGAAUCUAGUAAUGUCCAACCAAAGUUUUAUAUUAUUUCUUUUAACAAUAAGUCUAAAUGUUUGUCUCAGAUUUGUGGAUCUAUUUAUAAUAAAUAAUAAUAUGAAUGU
rnacentral:lncRNA from 1 species